CAGUCGCCGCGGUAAUACCAGCAGCCCAAGUGGUGGUCGCGAUUAUUGGGCCUAAAGCGCUCGUAGCCGGGCCGGUAAGUCCCUUGUGAAAUCGGACGGCCUAACCGUUCGGCGUGCAAGGGAUACUGUCGGUCUUGAGGCCGGGAGACGUCCGAGGUACUCCGGGGGUAGCGGUGAAAUGUUCUGAUCCUCGGGGGACCACCGGUGGCGAAGGCGUUCGACGAGAACGGGCCUGACGGUGAGGGGCGAAGGCUAGGGGAGCAAACGGGAUUAGAUACCCUUGUAGUCCCUGUCUCUUAUA
rnacentral:rRNA from 1 species